rnacentral:rRNA from 1 species
CACGUAGGGGGCGAGCGUUGUUCGGAAUUACUGGGCGUAAAGGGCAUGUAGGCGGUCUUGUAAGCUUGGCGUGAAAGACCACGGCUCAACCGUGGGAUUGCGUUGAGAACUGCGAGGCUUGAGUGACGGAGAGGGAGCUAGAAUUCCUGGUGUAGGGGUGGAAUCUGUAGAGAUCAGGAAGAAUACCAAUGGCGAAGGCAAGCUCCUGGCCGAUGACUGACGCUGAGGUGCGAAAGUGUGGGGAUCAAACAGGAUUAGAUACCCGUGUAGUCCC